UACGUAGGGUGCAAGCGUUGUCCGGAAUUAUUGGGCGUAAAGAGCUCGUAGGCGGUUUGUCGCGUCGGCUGUGAAAACUCGGGGCUUAACUCCGAGCCUGCAGUCGAUACGGGCAGACUUGAGUUCGGUAGGGGAGACUGGAAUUCCUGGUGUAGCGGUGAAAUGCGCAGAUAUCAGGAGGAACACCGGUGGCGAAGGCGGGUCUCUGGGCAGUAACUGACGCUGAGGAGCGAAAGCGUGGGGAGCGAACAGG
rnacentral:rRNA from 1 species